AAACAACGGAGAGUUUGAUCCUGGCUCAGGAUGAACGCUAGCGGCAGGCUUAACACAUGCAAGUCGAGGGGCAGCGGGGAGGAAGCUUGCUUUCUCCGCCGGCGACCGGCGCACGGGUGAGUAACACGUAUGCAACCUGCCCCUGUCAGGGGGACAACCCGCCGAAAGGCGGGCUAAACCCGCGUACAUGCCACCGGGGCAUCCCGGAGGCAGGAAAGGCUUCGGCCGGACAGGGAUGGGCAUGCGGCGCAUUAGGCAGUAGGCGGGGUAACGGCCCACCUAACCGACGAUGCGUAGGGGUUCUGAGAGGAAGGUCCCCCACACUGGUACUGAGACACGGACCAGACUCCUACGGGAGGCAGCAGUGAGGAAUAUUGGUCAAUGGUCGGGAGACUGAACCAGCCAAGCCGCGUGAGGGAGGAAGGUACAGAGUAUCGUAAACCUCUUUUGUCAGGGAACAAAG
rnacentral:rRNA from 1 species